GGGGUGGUGCGGGUUGCGGCCGGGACCGGGCGACCUGGUGGGUCACCCGGGCCGCACGAGCCGUUCGGGACGGACGUCCUCCCGCC
rnacentral:tRNA from 1 species